rnacentral:rRNA from 1 species
AUAUCAUGUUGAAACAUUGGUUCUCAUACAAUCACUGAAGUUAAGCAAUGUUGAGCCUGGUCAGUACCUAGAUUGGUGACCACUUGGGAAUACCAGGUGCAGUAUG